AUUGAACGCUGGCGGCAUGCCUAACACAUGCAAGUCGAGCGAGCGGCGGACGGGUGAGUAAUGUAUGGGGACCGCCCGCUAGAGGGGGAUAACCUCUGGAAACGGUGGCUAAUACCCCAUAUUGCCGGAUAACCCAUAUGGGAUUAGCUUGUAGGUAAGGUAAUGGCUUACCUAGGCGACGAUCCCUAGCUGGCCUGAGAGGAUGAUCAGCCACACUGGGACUGAGACACGGCCCAGACUCCUACGGAGGAAGCAGUGGGGAAUAUUGCACAAUGGGCGCAAGCCUGAUGCAGCCAUGCCGCGUGUAUGAAGAAGGCCCUAGGGUUGUAAAGUACUUUCAGUCGGGAGGCGUUACCGACAGAAGAAGCACCGGCUAACUCCGUGCCAGAAGCCGCGGUAAUAC
rnacentral:rRNA from 1 species